UACGUAGGGGGCCAGCGUUGCUCGGAAUUACUGGGCGUAAAGGGUUCGUAGGUGGUGCGGCAAGUUGGGAGUGAAAUCUCUGGGCUUAGCUCAGAGGCUGCUUUCAAAACUGCCGCGCUCGAGUGCGAGAGAGGUCAGUGGAAUUGCAGGUGUAGCGGUGAAAUGCGUAGAUAUCUGCAGGAACACCCGUGGCGAAGGCGGCUGACUGGAUCGCAACUGACACUGAGGAACGAAAGCUAGGGGAGCAAACAGG
rnacentral:rRNA from 1 species